rnacentral:pre_miRNA from 1 species
GAUAUCAACUGAAAAAGUCAUCAACAACAAAGUUGAAUAACUCAUCAAUAUCUAAAACUUUUAUUUUGGUCAUUUCUUCAUACGAUAAAGUGAUAGUAACAUUGUUCAUAAAAUUGACAUAUCUCUUAUCUGGUUUUAUAAACUAUAACACAUAUAUGUAAAAUUUGUGAAUAAUAUUACUAACAUUUCGUCGGAUGAAGAAAUAGAUCUUGAUGAGUUAUUCAACUUUGUUGUUGAUGACCUUUUCAAUUGAAAUC